AUUGAACGCUGGCGGCAGGCUUAACACAUGCAAGUCGAGCGGGGUGAUGGUGCUUGCACUAUCACUUAGCGGCGGACGGGUGAGUAAUGCUUAGGAAUCUGCCUAUUAGUGGGGGACAACAUCUCGGAAGGGAUGCUAAUACCGCAUACGUCCUACGGGAGAAAGCAGGGGAUCUUUAUGACCUUGCGCUAAUAGAUGAGCCUAGGUCGGAUUAGCUAGUUGGUGGGGUAAAGGCCUACCAAGGCGACGAUCUGUAGCGGGUCUGAGAGGAUGAUCCGCCACACUGGGACUGGGACACGGCCCAGACUCCUACGGGAGGCAGCAGUGGGGAAUAUUGGACAAUGGGGGGAACCCUGAUCCAGCCAUGCCGCGUGUGUGAAGAAGGCCUUAUGGUUGUAAAGCACUUUAAGCGAGGAGGAGGCUCUUUUGGUUAAUACCCAGAAUGAGUGGACGUUACUCGCAGAAUAAGCACCGGCUAACUCUGUGCCAGCAGCCGCCGUAAUAC
rnacentral:rRNA from 1 species